AUUCGCCCGCCGCGCGCGGCGGGCGGGGCGGGGGCACGGGGGGCCUCGGGAGGCAGCAGUAGGGAAUAUUGCUUAAUGGGCGCAAGCCUGAAGCAGCAACGCCGCGUGUGCGAUGAAGGCCUUCGGGUUGUAAAGCACUUUUGGCAGGGACGAGGAAGGACGGUACCUGCAGAAUAAGCCUCGGCUAACUACGUGCCAGCAGCCGCGGUAAUAAUCUCUAGAGGAUCCCC
rnacentral:rRNA from 1 species